rnacentral:rRNA from 1 species
UAGGGAAUCUUCGGCAAUGGACGGAAGUCUGACCGAGCAACGCCGCGUGAGUGAAGAAGGUUUUCGGAUCGUAAAGCUCUGUUGUAAGAGAAGAACGAGUGUGAGAGUGGAAAGUUCACACUGUGACGGUAUCUUACCAGAAAGGGACGGCUAACUACGUGCCAGCAGCCGCGGUAAUACGUAGGUCCCGAGCGUUGUCCGGAUUUAUUGGGCGUAAAGCGAGCGCAGGCGGUUAGAUAAGUCUGAAGUUAAAGGCUGUGGCUUAACCAUAGUACGCUUUGGAAACUGUUUAACUUGAGUGCAAGAGGGGAGAGUGGAAUUCCAUGUGUAGCGGUGAAAUGCGUAGAUAUAUGGAGGAACACCGGUGGCGAAAGCGGCUCUCUGGCUUGUAACUGACACUGAGGCUCGAAAGCGUGGGGAGCAAACAGGAUUAGAUACCCUGGUAGUCCACGCCGUAAACGAUGAGUGCUAGGUGUUGGAUCCUUUCCGGGAUUCAGUGCCGCAGCUAACGCAUUAAGCACUCCGCCUGGGGAGUACGACCGCAAGGUUGA